ACACCCCCCUGAGGUAUGGUCAAAUUACAAAAACACCCCUAUUGUUUGGAUAAUUACAACCACCCCCUCAACUCAUCAAAUUUAGUGGAAUCUUCGAGAUUAUAUGGAAUAUUAUCACUUUUGUACCCGUUUUAUCCCAUUCAAACUCUACAUUAUGAAGCAAGAUGAUCAUAAUAUGUGAUUUUUAGCUUGUAUAUAUCAGUUUGUGGUGCAUC
rnacentral:lncRNA from 1 species